GCCUCAUAUCUAGCCCUUAUCACUCGCAUGACCCCCUCCAACCUUCCAACUUUAAACAAAACAUUUUUUCAUUUUAGUACAGGCGAUCGAAAAAUUUAUAGGCGCCUCAGAUAAAGUACCGAAAGGGAAUGAUGAAAUAAAAAUGAAAUAAUUUUAAAGCCUAAAACAGCAGAGAUAACCCCUCGUACCUUUUGCAUCAUGAUCUAGCCAGUCUAACCAAGCAAAAUGAAAAUUUUAGUUUGACCUCCCGAAACUAAGUGAGCUACUUCAAAACAGCCCUAAGGGGCCAACCCGUCUCUGUUGCAAAAGAGUGGGAAGAUUUUCAAGUAGAGGUGACAAGCCUAUCGAACUUAGAGAUAGCUGGUUGUUCAGGAAAAGAGUUUCAGCUCUACCUUAAGUUUUUUUAUUAAUCUAAACAAACCUUCAAACUUAAGAGCUAUUCAAGUAAGGCACAACUUACUUGAAACAGGAUACAACCUCCCUUAUUGGGUAAACAAGAACAAAUUAAACAAAGUGGGCCUAAAAGCAGCCAUCUCAUAAAAAGCGUUAAAGCUUAACUUCUUAAUAUUAAUAAUUCCAGUAAUUCUAAUUAACCCUUCACCACUACUGAACAAUUUUAUAACCCUAUAAAAACUAUUAUGCUAGAACUAGUAACAAGAAACUGCCUUUCUCCUAAAUGUAAGCUUACACCACAUCGGACUAUCCACUGGUACUUAACGUAACUGUCCCUAUUAUAGCAACACUCAACCAGAAAACCCUAUAAAGACCAACGUUAAUCUCACACUAGAACAUUUUAGGAAAGAUUAAAAGAAAGAGAAGGAACUCGGCAAACCCUAGCCCCGCCUGUUUACCAAAAACAUCGCCUCUUGCCUAACAUAAGAGGUCCAGCCUGCCCAGUGACAUAGUUUAACGGCCGCGGUACCCUAACCGUGCGAAGGUAGCAUAAUCACUUGUUCCUUAAAUAGGGACUAGUAUCAACGGCAUCACGAGGGCUACACUGUCUCCUCUCUCUAAUCAGUGAAACUGAUCUCUCCGUGAAGAAGCGGAGAUUUUGAUAUAAGACGAGAAGACCCCAUGGAGCUUAAAACUUAAUAUAUACCUCUAUUUAUCCGCACCAACUAACUACAAGAGUCUAUAUAUUAGUUUUAGGUUGGGGGGACCGCGGAGUAAAAAUUAACCUCCACGACAAACGGGCCAACGCCCUUAUCCAUGAAACACAAUUCUAAGAAUUAAUAAUCUAAUGUUUUAUGACCCGAUAAGUCGAUCAACGAACCAAGUUACCCUGGGGAUAACAGCGCAAUCUACUUUAAGAGCUCCUAUCGACAAGUAGGUUUACGACCUCGAUGUUGGAUCAGGGUAUCCCAGUGGUGCAGCCGCUACUGAUGGUUCGUUUGUUCAACGAUUAAAACCCUACGUGAUCUGAGUUCAGACCGGAGCAAUCCAGGUCGGUUUCUAUCUAUAAAGUGCUUCCCCCUAGUACGAAAGGACCGGGGCAACAUGGCCAAUGCCCAAACAAGCCAUAUUCCUACACUAAUGAAAUUAUCUCAAUUAGCUGCGACCUCCUACUCUGCCCUAAAAAAGGGCU
rnacentral:rRNA from 1 species